UACGAAGGGGGCUAGCGUUGUCCGGAUUUAUUGGGCGUAAAGAGCGUGUAGGCGGCCAGGUAGGUCCGUUGUGAAAACUGGAGGCUUAACCUCCAGCUGUCGAUGGAAACCAUCUGGCUAGAGUCCGGAAGAGGAGAGUGGAAUUCCUGGUGUAGCGGUGAAAUGCGCAGAUAUCAGGAAGAACACCCGUGGCGAAGGCGGCUCUCUGGGACGGUACUGACGCUGAGACGCGAAAGCGUGGGGAGCGAACAGG
rnacentral:rRNA from 1 species